rnacentral:rRNA from 1 species
UCGAGAAUUUUUCUCAAUGGGCGAAAGCCUGAAGGAGCGACGCCGCGUGGGGGAUGAAUGGCUUCGGCCCGUAAACCCCUGUCAUUUGCGAACAAACCUCGUGAUUUAACAGAUGACGAGCUGAUUGUAGCGAAAGAGGAAGGGACGGCUAACUCUGUGCCAGCAGCCGCGGUAAUACAGAGGUCCCAAGCGUUGUUCGGAUUCACUGGGCGUAAAGGGUGCGUAGGUGGUUGGGUAAGUCUGAUGUGAAAUCUCCGGGCCUAACCCGGAAACUGCAUCGGAUACUAUUCGACUGGAGGGUUGGAGGGGGGACUGGAAUACUUGGUGUAGCAGUGAAAUGCGUAGAUAUCAAGUGGAACACCAGUGGCGAAGGCGAGUCCCUGGACAACUCCUGACACUGAGGCACGAAAGCUAGGGGAGCAAACAGGAUUAGAUACCCACGUAGUCCCUGAGCGGGCUGGCAAGGCGCAU